UAAAAUAACAGGACAAUCAUGGCAGCACUCAAGUUCACAGCUGUUAUUGUCACUUAAUUUACUGUGAUUGUCUGAAACCAUUUCUGCUUUGAAUGACUUGAGGAUACUUUCACACUGCCCUAAAUAUAGCAUAGGCCUAUGAGAUCAUCCACGGAGGGAUCAGAAGCAGAGCUGGAGGAGACUGUGGUGGAGACGUUCAGCACUUGAGGAAGAAGUCGUUGCAGGCCACAGUCAGCGCACCCAUGAGGAUGAUGAACUCGGUGAAGUCCACCUCGCCGUCAUUAUUGGAAUCCAGGUCGUUCAUCACUCGCUCCACCGCAUCUUUAUCUUGAGCGUUCUGCAUGAA